rnacentral:rRNA from 1 species
AUUGAACGCUGGCGGCAUGCUUUACACAUGCAAGUCGAACGGCAGCGCGGGCUUCGGCCUGGCGGCGAGUGGCGAACGGGUGAGUAAUAUAUCGGAACGUACCCAAGAGUGGGGAUAACGUAGCGAAAGUUACGCUAAUACCGCAUACGAUCUAAGGAUGAAAGCAGGGGAUCGCAAGACCUUGUGCUCCUGGAGCGGCCGAUAUCUGAUUAGCUAGUUGGUGGGGUAAAGGCCCACCAAGGCAACGAUCAGUAGCUGGUCUGAGAGGACGACCAGCCACACUGGAACUGAGACACGGUCCAGACUCCUACGGAGGCAGCAGUGGGGAAUUUUGGACAAUGGGCGCAAGCCUGAUCCAGCAAUGCCGCGUGAGUGAAGAAGGCCUCGG